UUGGUUUCAUCGAUCAAUCAAGAAGAGGUGAGUGAGUUUCGCAAGGCAUGCUGGGUAUGCUACCCUUCCUUUUUUGGCGGUUUUACCUCGUAGUAACUUUCCAGAAAAACGAAAGGGUUAUGAUGAGAGAUUAUGUCAUACCCUGGCACAUGCUUUGUCCAAUGGACCAUGGAAGGGACUUUACUUGGCUGACGAGGACGCACCUCACCAGUAUCAGAGCAACAGCUGUGGGGUGUUUAUGCUGAUGGUGAGAUGCAUUAUUUUCAGAAAUGAUGACUGAUGACUAGUUUGCAAAACUACUAA